CACGAGCCUUGGCGCCGGCGCGAGACUCAGAAAACCAACUUGCUCCGGCCAUCUGCUUCUGAAGAAGGCAAAAUACAUAAGAACUUAAAUCUUACUUGCAUACGAAGAUAAUGGCCAGAAGAAGUGGAUGCCGGCAAGCUAGAUCUGUGAAUGGAAACACACAAAAGAUAGCAAGAGUAAAGAAAGAGUGCAACAAGAGGAGAAAAUCAAUAA